GUCAUGUGAUCCGUCUAAGCCUAUCAAAAGUUUCCAUUCUUCUGAUUAGAAACCAUCAUGUAACUGGAUACAUGGUUUACAGCAGGCCACUAAUGCUGGAAAAAGUACAGAGUCCAGGGAAAGACCUACUUGUAACUUUCUGAAUUCUUGGAUUUUUUUUUUUUUUUGCAAUUUUUUAAACUUUCACUAAGGGUUACUGUAGACUGAUGUGUCCUACCGAGGACUACAAAAUUUGACAAGCUGUACUUUUUCUUAUGCUCAAUGAUUUCUGCUUUAAGCCAAAGGACCACCUAUAAUUUUACUAAGAAUGUCUUCUAAUUCGGAUACUGGAAAUUUACAAGAUUCCCUAAAGCACAGACUUACACCUAUUGGUGCUGGGCUUCCGGACGGACACGGACCCCCUAUCCCCGCCCGCGGCCGCCUUGUCAUGCUGCCCAAAGUGGAGACGGAAGCCCUGGGACUGGCUCGAUCGCAUGGGGAACAGGGGCAGAUGCCGGAAAACAUGCAAGUGUCUCAGUUUAAAAUGGUGAAUUACUCCUAUGAUGAAGAUCUUGAAGAGCUCUGCCCUGUGUGUGGAGAUAAAGUGUCUGGAUACCACUAUGGGCUCCUCACCUGUGAAAGCUGCAAGGGAUUUUUUAAGCGAACAGUCCAAAAUAAUAAAAGGUACACAUGUAUAGAAAACCAGAACUGCCAAAUUGAUAAAACACAGAGAAAACGUUGUCCUUACUGUCGAUUUCAAAAAUGUCUAAGUGUUGGAAUGAAGCUAGAAGCGGUAAGGGCUGACCGAAUGCGCGGGGGAAGGAAUAAAUUUGGGCCAAUGUACAAGAGAGACAGGGCCCUAAAGCAACAGAAAAAAGCCCUCAUCCGAGCCAAUGGACUUAAGCUAGAAGCCAUGUCUCAGGUGAUUCAAGCAAUGCCCUCUGAGCUCACCAUCUCUUCUGCCAUUCAGAACAUCCAUUCUGCCUCCAAAGGCCUACCUCUGAACCAUGCUGCCUUGCCUCCUACGGACUAUGACAGAAGUCCCUUUGUAACAUCCCCCAUUAGCAUGACAAUGCCACCUCAUGGCAGCCUGCAAGGUUACCAAACAUACAGUCACUUUCCUAGCCGGGCCAUCAAGUCCGAGUACCCAGAUCCCUACACCAGCUCACCAGAGUCGAUAAUGGGCUAUUCCUACAUGGAUAGUUACCAGACAAGCUCCCCGGCAAGCAUCCCACAUCUGAUACUGGAACUUCUGAAGUGUGAGCCAGAUGAGCCUCAAGUCCAGGCUAAAAUCAUGGCCUAUUUGCAGCAAGAACAAGCUAACCGAAGCAAGCACGAAAAGCUGAGCACGUUUGGGCUUAUGUGCAAAAUGGCUGAUCAAACCCUCUUCUCUAUUGUUGAGUGGGCCAGGAGUAGUAUCUUCUUCAGAGAACUUAAGGUUGAUGACCAAAUGAAGCUGCUUCAGAAUUGCUGGAGUGAGCUCUUAAUUCUCGACCACAUUUACCGACAAGUGGUACAUGGAAAGGAAGGAUCCAUCUUCCUGGUUACUGGGCAACAAGUGGAUUAUUCCAUAAUAGCGUCCCAAGCCGGGGCCACCCUCAACAAUCUCAUGAGUCAUGCACAGGAGUUAGUGGUAAAGCUUCGCUCUCUACAGUUUGAUCAACGAGAGUUUGUGUGUCUGAAAUUCUUGGUGCUCUUUAGUUUAGAUGUCAAAAACCUUGAGAACUUCCAGCUGGUAGAAGGUGUCCAGGAACAAGUCAAUGCCGCCCUGCUGGACUAUACUAUGUGCAACUACCCACAGCAAACAGAGAAAUUCGGGCAGCUACUUCUUCGACUACCCGAAAUCCGGGCCAUCAGCAUGCAGGCUGAAGAAUACCUCUACUAUAAGCACCUGAACGGGGAUGUGCCCUAUAAUAACCUCCUUAUUGAAAUGUUGCAUGCAAAAAGAGCUUAGGUUCCAACCCCUAAAAGCUCUGCUUUCAAAACAAAAAGAGACUGGUGGGGGGAGAAAAGAAGAACAGGAAGAAAAGGAAAAAAAAAAAAAAAAAAAAAACUCUGAACUGCUCCAAGCAACACUAAUUAAAAACUUGGUUUAAAGAUUUUGAGUUUAAAAAGGCAUACUAAUCAAAUACUUAAUAGCAAAUAAAUGAUGUAUCAGGGUAUUUGUAUUGCAAACUGUGAAUCAAAGGCUUCACAUCCCCAAAGGAUUCCAUAUAAAAGACAUUGUAACGGAGUGGACUGAACUCACAGAUGGAUACCAACCCCAUAUCGGAAUAAAAAUGGACAGGACAGUUCUUGUAUAUUUAAACUGAUCUCCGCUGUGAAGAAAUUUAGGAACUGAUCUGUGUUAUUAAUUAGGCUUAUACAGCAGGGGAUUUGAGCUUACAGAAUGCCUCCGUGGUAAAGCCGAACUAAAACAACUCAAAACAUCCAUCGGCUGCACCUGUAAAAGCCCUUCCGUCUUCCUUUCAAGGACCCAGCACCUUCCGCCCCAUGAUCACGGAAUCUGUCCUUGCGGAUUUGUGCUCAGCCACACCCACUAGUAGCUCCAGCAAAUCAUGAAAAGCCUAAUUUUGAAUGUCUGUGUCUUAGACCAGCAAACAGCUAAUAAGAACAGUCUACAAUAUGUUAGCUUGCCAUUUGAAAUAUGUUCUGGUUUGUUUUGUCAUGUGUUCAUGUUAAAAAAAAAAAAAAAAAAAGCAGACAGUAUCCCUCUUCUGAUGUUAUAUAAGCAUUAAUUAAUAUUAAGGGAAAGGACUACAAAUUUAAAGCAAAUGCUCCAUAGCUAAAGCAAGCUAGACCUUAUUUCUGCUAUUGUUACUGAAAUGUGGCUUUGGCAUUGUCGGAUUCCAUAAAAAUUUCUUGCCAAAAGGCUUGUUAGGGUACAUCCAUCUUUUGAACCAUCAAAGUUUGUAGUUCAUUUGAAAAUAAAACCUGAAACACAUCUUACUGGGAUGUCAAAUAGUCACAGUGCUAAGUGGUUUAAAAUAAAACCGAAGCAUGUUAAGCUAUUCAAAAAGAAAGAAAAAGGUGAGCUAAUAAAUUGCCUCAAAUCUCCUGCUUGUUGCAGUUGAACAUCCCCUAAACGUAGAAUGGCAACAGUGAUUCGAAUCUACACAUGGACUGGAAAGAUACUAAAGCAAUUCCAAUCUUCCCCAAAAGGGAAAGGAAGAGAGUGAUACUGACCUUUCUGAGUCAUAGACCAAAGUCUGCUCUAGAACAAAUAUUGAAGGACAAAGAAUUGCAAAACAAACUCUCCAAACAACGAUAGCAGUAUUAUUGACAUGUAAUGCCACAGGUAUGGAAGUCUUGCCUUAUUUCACAAUUCUGAGAGGUAGCUGUGCAGAUGUGGAUCAACAUUUGUCUAAAAUAAAGUAUUAAUACUUUCAAGUCAAAUAAAAGAUAGUGUUUACAUUCUUUAGGUCCUGUGGGGGGAGGGGGGGAAACUGUGAUAUUACAAAAUAGCUAAAGCAGUAAUUUCCUUAAUGUUAUUUUUCUGAUUGGUAAUUAUUUUUAACAGUACUUAAUUAUUGUAUGUCGUGAGACACUAAAAUCAACAACGGGAAUCUCAUUUAGACUUUGAUUUUUUUGAGAUUAUCAGCGGCACAAUCACUUGUAAAAACUGUAAAAACUAAAAGUAUCUCCUAGUCCCUUAAUUUUUUCAUAAAUGUUUCAGGCUUUUGAAUAGUUUAUUUAUAUUGUAUAUCAUAGUUUCAACUGUAGACAAUUAUGAUGCUAAUUUAUUGUUCCUUGGUUUCACCUUUGUAUAAGAUAUAGCCAAGACUGAAGAAACCAAAUAUAUGUGUUUACUGUAGCAUGUCUUCAAGUUAGCAGAACAUAGUUCAGGGACAGAGAAGGGUCUUAAUGAAUUAAAAUCAUUCACUUGAUUAAAUGUCUGUAAAUCUUCAUAAUUCUUACUGUAGUUUAUUUAAUAUCUAUUGUAAAUUAUGUGACUUGUAGUUUCCUCUGUUUUCAAGUAAAUUUAACAAGGGUAGAGUCUUCCCUGGUUUCCUUUACAAGCGUUGUAAGUUGUAUACCAAAGAUAUUAGUUACUACUUCUGUGUGUACAAAAAGGAUUAUUUUAUUAUUUUUUUAAUCACCUCUAAUAUUCGUCCACGUGAAGGGUACACAUUUGCUAAGCUGAAUGUCCACAGCUCCUCAUGCAAAGCCUCAGUCACCUGUCAUCACAGCUCAAAGGACAAUGAAAAACAGCUGAUCAGAGUCAAUGUCCAAAGCAUUAAAUAGACUGGCAGCAUCCUUACUCUCCCCAUUUAAAAACCAAGUUGGCUAAGAAGACAUGUGGAGAGGAAUGGGUGUUGUUAACAGUUGCUGAAAUGGUUGCAUCCUGGUUGUGGAACAUGGGUGGCGGCAAUCAUGAGACUGGUGGGAUCUGCAGCUACCUUGGACCUGAAUCCAUGCAAUGUUUAGAGUGUGAAGUCGGUUACUUGUUGGCGUUUUCUUACUGUAUCAGUGAAAUACAUAUUGUCAUGUCAGUUCUUGCCAGGAGUUUCUCGACAAAAUGGAUUUUUUUUUCAGUAUUUCAAUAAAUAUUGAUAUGCCCAGCCUGAUAAUUUUUUAAAAGUUUUUAUGCUGUCCUCAUUCUGUUAGAUACUAAAGCUUCUAAGUAAUUAAGAUACCUGACUAGGAAUGG